CGGCCACAUGCUGGACCUCGUCCUGAACACAUGGGCCACUCCAUUUAAUCAUGGUCACAACCUUAGGAGGUAGGUAGGUGCGAUAACUAACCCCACUUCAGAGGGGAACAGUUAGGGACAGAGAGGCAAACCACAACCCGGUGGCCCAAGGUCACACAACCACUGAGUGGCAGGGCUGGGCUUUGGGGCUAGACGGUCAUCCCGACACCCCCUGCUCUUAGCUGCUAUGCCUUGUCGAUUAAAUGAGAUAAAGCAUAAAACAGUUCCUAGAAAUUCUGACAUAGAGAGAAGCUCCACUACUGUCUGACAUUAUUGCUGUGAAUUUUGCCCAUGAGCAGGAUGGAGAGGAAAAGUCAAACAGGAGAAGGACAUGGAAAUUCCACUGGAAGGGACCCUACAACCCUGGGUUCCUGGCUGCCCACCUCUUGCUGACAAGGAUCUACUUGAGAAACUGCUUCUCCCACAGACACUUUAGUCAUUUUCCAAAAUACAGAAUGUGGGGCUGGGGGAACUGGGAGGGAUGGAGUGGCCCUCUAGCCCAGCUCCCCCAGAGGACAGAGGAGGAAACAGAGGCCCAGGGACAGGUCCUCUACAGCCUGAUGGCCUGUGCUCUUAUUUGCAUAUCGCUUUCCAUGAAUUUGCAUAUUGGGCUCCAGAGACUCCACCUUUGAAACAGAAUGAAAGACUUUAUGGACACUGAAUUCUGAUGUAAGAAUUGACUCGACAUACUUGAAAUGCAGAACAGAGCCCUAGACUGCCAGGAAGAGGCCGGGCGCCUGGUGACAGAGGACAGGACGGGCAGGCAGGACCCAGCCUCCUCCCGAGCACCUUCAGAAGCAUUACCCCCUGGGGCCCGGGUGACCCAGGAGCUGCUCCAAGGAGCCACGAGACCCGCUCCAUGACAGCCCAGCAGAACGGGGGUGCAGACCCAGGACACAUGUUCUCCUGGUACAACCUUCAGGAGGCUUCAGGAGGCUAUGCGACCUCCCUGAGAUUGCUGGAGGGCUAGCAACAGUUCACAACAGAGCCAAGACAGGAUCCCCAGCCCCACAGUGACGUCCAUCUUCAGGGUGAAGCUGCCAGGAGACCCCUUGGAGGUACAACUUCUUCCUUCUCUGGCUGGGCGGGGGGACCUCAGGAUUUCCAAUAGUCCCCUGUGGGCCGAGAGCUGCCCCCUGUGGAACUGUCCUCUGGGAAAAUCCAGCGUCCCCUGGAUGAACCCAAGGGCUGGUGAGUGCUGAGCUGUGUGGACACACCCUAGCUGGUCCCUGGGGGGCUUCCAUGCAGUCAGCUGGGUUGGCGGUGUGGUUGGCAGGCGGGGCCAAACAAGGGAGAGAAAUACAAACACCUGCCACAGAAAGAAGCCAGGCAGCGGGGCUGCCCUGCUGGGGAAGGGCAGGCAGGGCUGACCCCAAGAAGGCCUGGCUUUCUCCUUGCCAGCACAGGGGUGAGAAGUGAGCACCAGGCUGGGUGCAGCACAGUCCCAGCUGCUGCAAAAGACCUCGGAGAGCUCCCGUCAAAGAGACAGGACUGGGGACCCGGGGCCACCAGGAACUCAGUGAGACCAAAAGAUGAGGCCAGAGGAGCUCCCGUUGUGGCUCAGUGGUAACAAACCUGACCGGUAUUCUUGAAGAUGCAGGUUUGAUCCCUGGCCUUGCUCAGUGGGUUAAGGAUCUGGCAUUGCUGCGAGCUGCCGUGUACGUGGCAAAUGGGGCUCGGAUCUGGUGUUGGCGGGCAGCUGCAGCUCCAAUUGGACCCCUAGCCUGGGAACUUCCACAUGCUGCAGGUGCAGCCCCUAAAAAGCAAAACAAAACCAAAAACAAACAAACAAAACGGUGAGGGAACCGGGGUGGAGCUGGAAUGAAGGCUUGGGAGUCAUCGAGGAGGCUCGUGGAUGCCAGGGGAUUUGACUGUUAUUCUGCUGGCAGGGGGACACCACUGAAAGUUUUGAGGAGACAGCGACGCAGUGAUGAUUUGGGAAAUAAUUCCUGACGCAAGAGACAGAUGGCAAGAGCUUGAAAGGAGAAGAAUCAAUUAGGCAGCCUCUGCACCAGGGCAGGCCAGGGGGGACGGGGAGAUAGCCUGAUUUCGAGCAGCGGGAGGGAAUGGGGGAAACUAGGAGGGAGCAAAAAAGGAACUGACAGGAAUCAGCGAAGGAUGAGCAAGAGGAAGGCGCCAGGAUGGCUGGGUGAUGACAUCAAGUGACCUCAAGGAUUUGGGAGGAGCAGGCAUGGACCUCGCAGAGAUCCCAGUAGGAGGUUGGAACGUCCAGAGAUCUUUGGGCUGCAGACAGGCUGGGGACUGACCUCAUUCAAAGAGCCAGAGAAGGAGACUGAAGAGGAAAAAGGGAGAAAUGGGGACAGAAACCCAGGGGGAUGCUGAGCAGGUACAGGACAGACAUGACCUCAGCAGCUGGCCAUGCGGAGGCCACCCACGCGUUGGUGGCAGGAGUCAAAGAGAAACAGAAACAAAACUCUGAAAGAUUUGCAAGUGCAAUGAGAAAAUAAAGCCCCAGAGUGUACACAGUCACUUCGACUCCCAGAGGCUGUCUGCGAAAAUAAGAAUCUCAAGAGGGCAGUGAAAAGAAAACAUGUAAAUAUCCUGGAUUAUUCAGAACGAUUUAUCCAUCUCGUUAGUAAGACGGCAUUCUUCAGAUUACUCUUCUCUUAAUGAAUUCAAAUGGAAUCUUUUCACAACUUUAUAAUUAGAGAUGGUACAAGCAUUUUUUUGGGGGGGGGGGAUCUUUGUAGGGCCACACCCGAGGCAUACGGAGGUUCCCAGGCUAGGGUUGAACCAGAGCCUACACCACAGCCACAGCAAUGCCAGAUCCGAGCUGCAUCUGUGACCUACACCACAGCUCCCUUAACCCACUGAGCGAAGCCAGGGAUCGAACCCGCAACCUCAUGGUUCCUAGUUGGAACAGCCAAGUUUCAGCAUCAGAAUAGUCCUAAUAAAAUGCAGGGGGGAGUUCCUGUUGUGGCACAGCAGAAACAAUCCAACUAGAAUCCAUGAGGACACAGGUUCGAUCCCUGGCCUCGCUCAGUGGGUUAAGGAUCCUGCGUUGCUGUGAGCUGUGGUGUAGGCUGGCAGCUACAGCUCUGAUUCGACCCCUUGCCUGGGAACUUCUGUAUCCUGUGGGUGCAGCUCUAAAAAGAAAAAAAAUGCAGUGGUAGCUUGUCACUCUUUGGUUCAAACCUUCAAUGACGUCCAAGCUCAGGAGUCAAACUCAAAGUCCCCACAGUGAUGAGUAAGGAUCAGACCUGGCUGCCUACCACCCACCUCCCCAACUCCUGCUCCGGCCCCGAGGGCCUCCUUGUUCUUCCGCCAACCUGGCCUUUCUGUGUUCUUUUGCUUUCUUUACCUUACUGUUCUCAGGGGUAUCCAGAAGCUCCUCCCCUACAUGUUCCAGGACUUCACUCAAAGACCAUAAUCUCUGGGAUGCCUUGCCAGACCCUCCUAUUUAAAACCGGAUGCUUGGGAGUUCCCGCUGUAGCUCAGGGGGUUAAGAAUCUGACUAAUACCCAUGAGGAUGUGGGUUGGAUCCCUGGCCUCACUGAAUGAGUUAAGGAUCUGGUGUUGCCAUGAGCUGCGGUAUAGGUUGCAGAUGUGGCUCAGGUCUGGUGUUGAUGCAGCUGUGGUGUAGGCUGGUAGUGGCAGCUCCAAUUGGACCCCUAGCCUGGAAACUUCCAUAUGCCGUGGGUGUGGCCCUAAAAAGCAAAAAAAAAAAAAAAAAAAAAAAGCAACAACAAAAAAAUGGAAUGCUUUGUCCAGAAAAGACGAAAACUCUAAUGCAAAAAGAUACAAACACCCCAAAGUUAUAGCAAUAGCAUUAUUCACAAUAGCCAAGACAUGGAAGUAACCUAAAUGUCCAUCAACAGAUGAAUGAAUAAAGAUGCGGUUCAGGGAGUCCCCGUUGUGGCUCAGUGGUAAGGAACCCGACUAGUAUCCAUGAGGACUUGGGUUCAAUCCCUGGCCUCAUUCAGUGGGUUAAGGAUCGGGUGUUUCUGUGGCUGUGGUGUAGGCCAGCAGCUACGGCUCCAGUUUGACCCCUAGCCUAGGAACCUCCAUGUGCCACAGGUUCAGC
rnacentral:lncRNA from 1 species